rnacentral:rRNA from 1 species
AGUUUGAUCCUGGCUCAGAUUGAACGCUGGCGGCAGGCUUAACACAUGCAAGUCGAACGAGGUUAGGGUGCUUGCACCUGAUACCUAGUGGCGAACGGGUGAGUAAUGCUUAGGAAUCUGCCUAGUAGUGGGGGAUAACUAUCCGAAAGGAUAGCUAAUACCGCAUACGACCUACGGGUGAAAGGGGGCGCAAGCUCUCGCUAUUAGAUGAGCCUAAGUCGGAUUAGCUAGUUGGUGGGGUAAAGGCCUACCAAGGCGACGAUCUGUAGCUGGUCUGAGAGGAUGAUCAGCCACACUGGGACUGAGACACGGCCCAGACUCCUACGGGAGGCAGCAGUGGGGAAUAUUGGACAAUGGGCGAAAGCCUGAUCCAGCCAUGCCGCGUGUGUGAAGAAGGCCUUUUGGUUGUAAAGCACUUUAAGUGGGGAGGAAAAGUUAAUGGUUAAUACCCAUUAGCCCUGACGUACCCAC